UGGGGAAUAUUGGACAAUGGGGGCAACCCUGAUCCAGCCAUGCCGCGUGAGUGAUGAAGGCCUUCGGGUUGUAAAGCUCUUUUGGCGGGGACGAUGAUGACGGUACCCGCAGAAUAAGCCCCGGCUAACUUCGUGCCAGCAGCCGCGGUAAGACGAAGGGGGCUAGCGUUGUUCGGAAUUACUGGGCGUAAAGCGAGUGUAGGCGGUUGCCGUAGUCAGGUGUGAAAGCCUUGAGCUCAACUCAAGAAAUGCACUUGAUACUGGGUGACUAGAGGACCGGAGAGGAUAGUGGAAUUCCCAGUGUAGUGGUGAAAUACGUAGAGAUUGGGAAGAACACCAGUGGCGAAGGCGGCUAUCUGGACGGUUACUGACGCUAAGACUCGAAAGCGUGGGGAGCAAAACAGGAUUAGAUACCCCUUGGUAGUCCACGCCCUAAAACGAUGUCAACUAGUUGUU
rnacentral:rRNA from 1 species